AGAUGCACAUACCCAAGUUCUCCAAAUGUACUUGAAAGUUCUAUAACUGCAUUAAUAUCAACUUAUUUUAAAUUAAAAUAAAAUCAGCAUUUAAAAAUCAGUUCCUCUGUCACGUGCCUCAUUUUGAUUGCUCAGUAGCCACAUGCAGCCAGUGGCUAUGCUACUGGACAGCACAGGUCUGCUGCAGUUAUUUGUGUAUAUUCAUCUCUCUUCCCCACGACAUCAGACCACGUCUAACUCACUUCUACACUCCCCUUUGUCUUGGCACAUACAGGGUGUUUGAUGGAAGUCUGUUGACUAGGUAAAGAAAAAUAGAUGUAGAAACCAUUUGACUCCAUCGUAACAUUAAGUCAAAAGCAUUCUUUUGUAAGGAAUAUAAAUGGCCAUUUUUAUAAAUACAUAUAUACACACAUACAC